AGCGAACGCUGGCGGCAGGCCUAACACAUGCAAGUCGAACGAAGUCUUCGGACUUAGUGGCGGACGGGUGAGUAACACGUGGGAACGUACCUUUUGGUUCGGAACAACUCAGGGAAGAUUGAGCUAAUACCGGAUGAGUCCUUAGGGGGAAAGAUUUAUCGCCGAAAGAGCGGCCCGCGUUAGAUUAGGUAGUUGGUGAGGUAAAAGCUCACCAAGGCUACGAUCUAUAGCUGGUCUGAGAGGAUGAUCAGCCACACUGGGACUGAGACACGGCCCAGACUCCUACGGGGGGCAGCAGUGGGGAAUCUUGCGCAAUGGGCGAAAGCCUGACGCAGCCAUGCCGCGUGAAUGAUGAAGGUCUUAGGAUUGUAAAAUUCUUUUACCAGGGACGAUAAUGACGGUACCUGGAGAAAAAGCCCCGGCUAACUUCGUGCCAGCCGCCGCAGUAACAC
rnacentral:rRNA from 1 species